GACAGCCGGGUAGCUAAGCAGAGGCUCAAGCUUCUUUCUCUCGUUUCUGUUCUCACGGUUUUGGAGAAACCUUACUGAUUCACAAGACAAAGCUCCGGAAAACAACUGAGAGCCACCCCCAUUCCCGUGUCCAUCGUGCUGAGCACACAUUUUGACACCACCAGGGAAUGCUGAAAGGUGGUAAGAGUGGGGAGCUCCUGCUGAGAAUAUUCCAGCAGAGACCUGAAGAAUAUGAGAGAGAAAGUUCUGCAUGCAAUGGGAAAGCAUUUCCAGCAGAAAGGAGGCUGGAAAGAAACACACAGAAAAGAAGGAGAUGAAAACAGAACAGAGGAAGGCCCCCAAAUUGGGAGAUGAGACAGGAAGGCCUAUGCUUGGCAUGUACUUGUGUCCACAAGGAGCCACGGAGUCUCUCACCAGAGGACAAUCACAGAGGUUUUCCACGAACAGACAUGGCACUGCCACAGCCAGGAACCUCAGGUUAUUUGCAAAAAAAUGAGACAUCACUCAAAUAGCCUGCAUAGAAAGAGUGAAUAUUUUCAUUUCCACAAGUGCAUGGCAUCCUCAAUUGGACUGAAACCCCUAAUUCAUAAGGAAAAUCAUGCCUUUGUUCUCCAAAAGAACUCAGGAGGAAAAACCAACAUACAGUUACACAGAAAAUUUAACUGACAGAGGACAGCUUAAAAAAACAAACAACAACAAAGUAAG
rnacentral:lncRNA from 1 species